GACGAACGCUGGCGGCGUGCUUAACACAUGCCAGUCGAACGGACAGGCCCUGCUCUUGUGGGGUGCUCGAGUGGCGAACGGGUGAGUAACACGUGAGUAACCUGCCCUUGACUUUGGGAUAACUUCAGGAAACUGGGGCUAAUACCGGAUAGGAGCUCCUGCUGCAUGGUGGGGGUUGGAAAGUUUCGGCGGUUGGGGAUGGACUCGCGGCUUAUCAGCUUGUUGGUGGGGUAGUGGCUUACCAAGGCUUUGACGGGUAGCCGGCCUGAGAGGGUUACCGGCCACAUUGGGACUGCGAGACGGCGCAGACGCGAACGGGAGGCAGCAGGGGGGAAUAUUGCACAAUGGGCGGAAGCCAGAUGCAGCAACGCCGCGUGCGGGAUGACGGCCUUCGGGUUGUAAACCGCUUUCGCCGGUGACGAAGCGUGAGUGACGGUAACGGGUAAAGAAGCACCGGCUAACUACGUG
rnacentral:rRNA from 1 species